AGUAAUUAAUCGCUUAUGUUUAUCAAUGUCGACUCGUGUCUUGUUACUCAUGGAAUUUCUGGAUUCUGUAUUUUACAUUAUAGCCAUUCGCAUAUAUAUGAUUGAAUAUUAUCUGCUGUUGGCUUGUGUGGAUGUAUGUAUGUGUUAUGCAACAUAGCUGACUUGAAACAUUGUUAAAAGUUUCAGGGCCAUGGGCCUUUCUCAUGAUGGAAAAAUACAGAGUAGCAUGAAGACAGGAACUGUUCAAUGAGUUGGGGGGGGGCACAUUCAGAGCGGGGGCACAUUCAGAGCGGGGUGUUGCGAGAACAAGCGGCCUUUUGUUAGAUAACAGGAGCCAGAUGCGAGAUAACGGUAUCGAGCAUGAGCGCAUAGAUAUUCUUCACAGCAAGUUACAUCUAUCAACUGGAGCGCCCGGGGGCUGGUACCAGCGCGUACGACAACAAUUAAUAAUAGGCUGGGUGAGUCUAAACCACGCCCAGUCUCUACUGUGAUGGGCCAACAGACGGGUUGGGACAAUGUCAGUAUAAGAAUACUGUUUACAUACAUCUUGUCAGUUCUCUGUUCUGCCCUGCGUGGUAUUACAGUGAGCCCGUAUAUACGAAAGUUGCAUUUGCCAUUUAUUACUUAGCUAAUAAAAAAUACAUAGUAUAAAAUUGGUGACUCAUUGUUAUAUUUAUCCUGAUACCAGAUUCGAAUUUACGCAACUCUAACAUGGUGACCCCGACGUGAUCUGGUAAAUGACAUCGCUGGACAUUGGUGUGCCAGCCGAUUGGCCAGUACUGUCGUCGGACGGUGUGUCUCACAAAUCCUGACCGGUCAACUAAAAAAGGUGCUGCCAAAACCACAGAGGUCCCAGACGAACCAGAGUCAGACACACUCCUCUACCACCCCAGGAACGAGCCUAGCACCCACUACCACUAUUUCAAAUCCCAUUCAGGUAAUUAACUUUAGAGACUAUUCAGCUAUUGAUCAAUUAGGCACUGAGACUGGUUUUGAUGGUAGGGACAAUUUGUGGCUGUCUUAUAUGAGGUAUACAGCUAAGACCCUGAAAAAAA
rnacentral:lncRNA from 13 species